rnacentral:tRNA from 1 species
UGCCCGAUCGUCUAACGGCAGGACUACAGUUUUUGGUACUGUGUAUAUUGGUUCGAAUCCAGUUCGGGCAA